AGGCCCAAGUGAGAUUGGCUAGUUGGUGAGGUAAGAGCUCACCAAGGCGACGAUCUCUAGCUGUUCUGAGAGGAAGAUCAGCCACACUGGGACUGAGACACGGCCCAGACUCCUACGGGAGGCAGCAGUGGGGAAUAUUGCACAAUGGGGGAAACCCUGAUGCAGCCAUGCCGCGUGUGUGAAGAAGGCCUUCGGGUUGUACAGCACUUUCAGUUGUGAGGUGACGUAACAACAGAAGAAGCACCGGCUAACUCCGUGCCAGCAGCCGCGGUAAUACGGAGGGUGCGAGCGUUAAUCGGAAUUACUGGGCGUAAAGCGCACGCAGGCGGUUUGUUAAGCUAGAUGUGAAAGCCCCGGGCUCAACCUGGGAAGGCCAUUUAGAACUGGCAGACUAGAGUCUUGGAGAGGGGAGUGGAAUUCCAGGUGUAGCGGUGAAAUGCGUAGAG
rnacentral:rRNA from 1 species